AUUGAACGCUGGCGGCAGGCCUAACACAUGCAAGUCGAGCGAACGACGAGCGGGUGAGUAAUGUCUGGGCAACUGCCUGGUGGAGGGGGAGAACUUCUGGAAACGAUAGCUAAUGCAGCAUACCAUCAGAUGUGUCCAGAUGGGAUUAGCUAGUAGGUGCGGUAACGGCUCACCUAGGCGACGAUCCCUAACUGGUCUGAGAGGAUGACCAGCCAUAAUGUAACUGAGACACGGUCCAGACUCCUACGGGAGGCAGCAGUGGGUAAUAUUGCACAAUGGGCGCAAGCCUGAUGCAGCCAUGCCGAGUGUGUGAAGAAGGCCGGCGGGUUGUAAAGCACUUGCAGCGGGGAGGCGUUACCCGUAGAAGAAGCACCGGCUAACUCCGUGCCAGGAGCCGCGGUAAUUC
rnacentral:rRNA from 1 species